rnacentral:rRNA from 1 species
AUUGAACGCUUGCGGCAGGCCUAACACAUGCAAGUCGAACGAGUGGCGGACGGGUGAGUAAUGUCUGGGAAACUGCCUGAUGGAGGGGGAUAACUACUGGUAACGGUAGCUAAUACCGCAUACCAUCAGAUGUGCCCAGAUGGGAUUAGCUAGUUGGUGGGGUAAAGGCCUACCAAGGCGACGAUCCGUAACUGGUCUGAGAGGAUGAUCGGUCACACUGGAAAAGAGACACGGUCCAGACUGCUACAGGAGGCAGCAGUGGGAAAUAUUGAACAAUGAGCGAAAACCUUAGCCAGCCAUGCCGCUUGUGUGAAGAAGGUCGUCGGAGUGUAGAGCACUUUAGGUUGGGAGGCGUUACCAACAGAAUAAGCACCGGCUAACUUCGUGCCAGGGGCCGCGGAAAUAC